rnacentral:rRNA from 1 species
CCCGCCGGCGACCGGCGCACGGGUGAGUAACACGUAUGAAACCUGCCCGUAGCAGGGGGAUAAGCGGAAGAAAUUCCGUCUAAUACCGCGUAACAACCCAUGGAGGCAUCUCUGUGGGUUUAAAGGAAGCGAUUCCGGCUACGGAUGGUCAUGCGUCGCAUUAGCUUGUUGGCGGGGUAACGGCCCACCAAGGCGACGAUGCGUAGGGGUUCUGAGAGGAAGGUCCCCCACACUGGUACUGAGACACGGACCAGACUCCUACGGAAGGCAGCAG